rnacentral:rRNA from 1 species
UGGGGAAUAUUGCACAAUGGGGGAAACCCUGAUGCAGCAACGCCGCGUGAGUGAUGAAGGUCUUCGGAUUGUAAAGCUCUGUCUUUGGGGACGAUAAUGACGGUACCCAAGGAGGAAGCCACGGCUAACUACGUGCCAGCAGCCGCGGUAAUACGUAGGUGGCAAGCGUUGUCCGGAUUUACUGGGCGUAAAGGGAGCGUAGGCGGACUUUUAAGUGGGAUGUGAAAUACCCGGGCUUAACCUGGGUGCUGCAUUCCAAACUGGAAGUCUAGAGUGCAGGAGGGGAAAGUGGAAUUCCUAGUGUAGCGGUGAAAUGCGUAGAGAUUAGGAAGAACACCAGUGGCGAAGGCGACUUUCUGGACUGUAACUGACGCUGAGGCUCGAAAGCGUGGGGAGCAAACA